AGUGAACGCUGGCGGUAGGCCUAACACAUGCAAGUCGAGCGACAGCACAGUAAGAUCUUUCUCUUACGGGUGGCGGGUGGCGGGCGGGUGAGAAGUGCAUCAGCAUCUACUUUUUCUGGGGGGAUAACGUGAAAACGCUUACACUAAUGGCGCAUACGUCCUACGGGUGGAAUCAAGAGAUCUUCGGGCCUUGCGCGAUUCAAUUAGCCGAUGCCGGAUUAGCUAGUUGGCGGGGUAAAGGCCCACCAAGGCGACGAUCCGUAGCCGGUCUGAGAGGAUGAUCAGCCACACUGGAACUGAGACACGGUCCAGACUCCUACGGGAGGCAGCAGUAGGGAAUAUUGGACAAUGGGCGAAAGCCUGACGGAGCCACACCGCGUGGGUGAAGAAGGUCUUCGGGUUGUAAAGCUCUGUUGUUGGGGAAGAAAAGAAGCAGAAUAAUCCAUCGAUGUUUUGACGGUACCUAAACAAUAAGCAACGGCUAACUUCGUG
rnacentral:rRNA from 1 species